AUGAACGCUGGCGGCGUGCCUAAUACAUGCAAGUCGAGCGAACGGACGAGAAGCUUGCUUCUCUGAUGUUAGCGGCGGACGGGUGAGUAACACGUGGAUAACCUACCUAUAAGACUGGGAUAACUUCGGGAAACCGGAGCUAAUACCGGAUGAUAUUUUGAACCGCAUGGUUCAAAAGUGAAAGACGGUCUUGCUGUCACUUAUAGAUGGAUCCGCGCUGCAUUAGCUAGUUGGUAAGGUAAUGGCUUACCAAGGCAACGAUGCAUAGCCGACCUGAGAGGGUGAUCGGCCACACUGGAACUGAGGCACGGUCCAGACUCCUACGGGAGGCAGCAGUAGGGAAUCUUCCGCAAUGGGCGAAAGCCUGACGGAGCAACGCCGCGUGAGUGAUGAAGGUCUUCGGAUCGUAAAACUCUGUUAUUAGGGAAGAACAUAUGUGUAAGUAACUGUGCACAUCUUGACGGUACCUAAUCAGAAAGCCACGGCUAACUACGUG
rnacentral:rRNA from 1 species